rnacentral:pre_miRNA from 1 species
UCUUACGGAAGAGCAAAGAAAAUGGCUUCUUGAGAUGGAAUCUACUCCUGGUGAAGAUGCUGUGAA